GGAGGACAAUAUUUGUGUGUUGGAUGCAUCUGGCAAUAUAUGGAUCAGGAAAUAAAGCAGAUAUUAUACAAGCCAGACUUCAUCAUUGUUGAGCAUGAGGCUGAAACGAUGAGCUGCAUGAUUGGUCUCCAUUUAGUGUGCAUUUCUGAACUCUGAAUGAUGAGUUUCCUUCUUAGUUUUUGUUGUUCAAUAUAGAGUUUUGCCGAUUUGGGCCAUACUCAGUACACUGUAACAUGCCUCUCUCCGACCACGUCUGCUUGACAUGGGAGCUUGCUACCAUUAAUGAACAUACGGGAGGUUGCUAGCAUCAAUGAAAGAGGCUGGCUGUAAUUGUCCGUGCUCUGUGAUGUUGAGUUAUCCAAGCUGUCUGCCUUAUUGAGGAUUGCAAAAAUAAGUGUCAGCAAGACUUCAGUGGGAAAGGUUUCCCCCCAUGAUCAGUGGGUCGCUGCUGAUUUGAUCCUGGUGAAGUGUGUUGGGCUAGGAGGGGGGCGGUGACAUUGAUGCUUACUUGAGGAUAAAGAUCGCUUGAGAACGGAUAGAAGAGCUGAUGCAUGCAAGAUAAUAGUAGCUUGCCAAGGUGAGCCCAAUCUUCUUGGUUCUGUUACUAGCCGUUGCAAGAUUAUUAGCAUUGGUAUGACCAAUACACAUGAGGCAAAUACAAUGUAAGGCUUCACACCAGACAAUUCCAUUGAUAAUUUCAGAGGACGGUUGAAGGAAGGUUCAGUUUACAUGUUUGAGAUGUUCAACGUGAUUCAUAUUUUCCGUCUCAUGUACAUGGGCUUGCUUCUUCGCUGGCGUGGUAUUAUGUGCUUUCGGAUUUACCAUCUGGUCUGCAUUGAGAUGGGCAUGAAUGCGUGAUGUUUGGGUCACUGUCUCUUGGAGCUUUCUUUCAUUCUCCAUCAACCUGGUCAUGUUGUUAUUUCCGAUUAGAUUUCCUCUGGGCUGUCGUUUUAUUUUGGGUUCCACCUCAUGAUUUGUUGCCAAAAAUAUAAAACCAAGUUAGCUCCUAUUAGUCCCUCUUUUUAAAUGAAAAUCUGUUGUCACCCA